CUCUCACAGAGGAUCCAGGCCAAGGGGCUCUGUUUCCAGCCAGCUGCAGUUCUUUUUCCGUAAUCAACCAGCAGAUAUCAACCUGGGCUGUUCACCUCUUCAGCGCCAGCACCUCUUCAACAUUACCCGUGAUUCCGCUCUGACAUUGCUGCCUGCUCACCUUGCCACUCAGCUUCCAUUGCUGCCUGCUCACCUGUUGCCUGCCCACCUCGCCACCCAGCUCUUCUUGCUGCCCGCACACUCCGCCGCUCAGCUCUCAGCACGGCCUGCCUCGCCAUACAACUCUCCUCACCGCUCGCCUCCUGGAGCCACUCAACCCUGAACAAUUCCUCUCUGUUUAAUUCCGGUUGUGUGAAUAAACACUUUAUUUGCCUCCC
ensembl:lncRNA